rnacentral:rRNA from 1 species
GACGAACGCUGGCGGCGUGCCUAACACAUGCAAGUCGAACGGAACUGUUUUGAAAGCUUUCUUCGGAAUGAAUUUGAUUUAGUUUAGUGGAGGACGGGUGAGUAACGCGUGAGUAACCUGCCUUCAAGAGGGGAAUAACAUUAUGAAAAGAAUGCUAAUACCGCAUGAAAUAUCGGAACCACAUGAUUUUGUUAUCAAAGAUUUUAUCGCUUGAAGAUGGACUCGCGUCGGAUUAGUUAGUUGGUGAGGUAAAGGCGCACCAAGACCGCGAUCGGUAGCCGGAAUGAGAGGUUGAACGGCCACAUUCGGACGGAGACACGGCCCAGACACCUACGGGAGUCAGCAGUGGGUGAUCUUGCGCAAGGGGGGCAAGCCUGACGCAGCAACGCCGCGUGAAAGAUUAAUGUUUUCGGAGUGCAAACUUCUUUUAUUAUGGACGAAAAAUGACGGUACUUAAUGAAUAAGCUCCGGCUAACUACGUG